AACGAACGCUGGCGGCAGGCUUAACACAUGCAAGUCGAGCGCCCGCAAGGGAGCGGCAGACGGGUGAGUAACGCGUGGGAAUCUACCCAGUUCUACGGAAUAACCCAGGGAAACUUGGACUAAUACCGUAUACGCCCUACGGGGGAAAGAUUUAUCGGAAUUGGAUGAGCCCGCGUUGGAUUAGCUAGUUGGUGAGGUAAUGGCUCACCAAGGCGACGAUCCAUAGCUGGUCUGAGAGGAUGAUCAGCCACACUGGGACUGAGACACGGCCCAGACUCCUACGGGAGGCAGCAGUGGGGAAUAUUGGACAAUGGGCGCAAGCCUGAUCCAGCCAUGCCGCGUGAGUGAUGAAGGCCUUAGGGUUGUAAAGCUCUUUCAGUGGGGAAGAUAAUGACGGUAGUGGAAGAAGAAGCCCCGGCUAACUUCGUGCCAGCCGCCGCGGUAAGAC
rnacentral:rRNA from 1 species